rnacentral:tRNA from 1 species
GUAUUAGCUCAGUUGGCAGAGCAUUUGACUUUUAAUCAAAGGGUCUGGGGUUCGAAUCCC